rnacentral:rRNA from 1 species
UACAGCGGGGGCAAGCGUUGUUCGGAAUUACUGGGCGUAAAGGGCGCGUAGGCGGCCUGCUAAGUCGAACGUGAAAUCCCUGGGCUCAACCCAGGAACUGCGUCCGAUACUGGUUGGCUUGAAUCCGGGAGAGGGAUGUGGAAUUCCAGGUGUAGCGGUGAAAUGCGUAGAUAUCUGGAGGAACACCGGUGGCGAAGGCGACAUCCUGGACCGGUAUUGACGCUGAGGCGCGAAAGCCAGGGGAGCAAACGGG